rnacentral:rRNA from 1 species
AUUGAACGCUGGCGGCAUGCCUUACGCAUGCAAGUCGAACGGCAGCACGGGAGCAAUCCUGGUGGCGAGUGGCGAACGGGUGAGUAAUACAUCGGAACGUACCCAGUAGUGGGGGAUAGCUCGGCGAAAGCCGGAUUAAUACCGCAUACGACCUACGGGUGAAAGCGGGGGAUCGCAAGACCUCGCGCUAUUGGAGCGGCCGAUGUCAGAUUAGGUUGUUGGUGGGGAAAAGCCUACCAAGCCGACGAUCUGUAGCUGGUCUCGAGAGGACGACCAGCCACACUGGGACUGAGACACGGCCCAGACUCCUACGGGAGGCAGCAGUGGGGAAUUUUGGACAAUGGGGCAACCUGAUCCAGCCAUGCCGCGUGCGGGAAGAAGGCCU